rnacentral:rRNA from 1 species
UGCUUGGGAAUAUGCCUUUAGGUGGGGGACAACAGUUGGAAACGACUGCUAAUACCGCAUAAUGUCUACGGACCAAACGUGGGGGACCGUUUUCGGGCCUCACGUCCUAAAGAUUGGCCCAAGUGGGAUUAGCUAGUUGGUUUAGGUAAAUGCUUACCAAGGCAAUUAUCAGUAGUUGGUCUGAGAGGAUGAUCAGCCACACUGGGACUGAGACACGGCCCAGACUCCUACGGGAGGCAGCAGUGAGGAAUUUUUCGCAAUGGGCGCAAGCCUGACGAAGCAAUGCCGCGUGAAGGAUGA